rnacentral:rRNA from 1 species
UACGUAGGGUGCAAGCGUUAAUCGGAAUUACUGGGCGUAAAGCGUGCGCAGGCGGUUUUGUAAGUCUGUCGUGAAAGCCCCGGGCUCAACCUGGGAAUUGCGAUGGAGACUGCAAGGCUUGAAUCUGGCAGAGGGGGGUAGGAUUCCACGUGUAGCAGUGAAAUGCGUAGAGAUGAUGGAGGAACACCGAUGGCGAAGGCAGCCCCUGGGUCAAGAUUGACGCUCAUGCACGAAAGCGUGGGGAGCAAACAGG